UACGUAGGGUGCAAGCGUUGUCCGGAAUUAUUGGGCGUAAAGAGCUCAUAGGCGGCCUGUCGCGUCGGAUGUGAAAAUCCAAGGCUCAACCUUGGACCUGCAUUCGAUACGGGCAGGCUAGAGUUCGGUAGGGGAGACUGGAAUUCCUGGUGUAGCGGUGAAAUGCGCAGAUAUCAGGAGGAACACCGGUGGCGAAGGCGGGUCUCUGGGCCGAUACUGACGCUGAGGAGCGAAAGCGUGGGGAGCGAACAGG
rnacentral:rRNA from 1 species